rnacentral:tRNA from 1 species
GGUCGCGUGGCCUAAUGGAUAAGGCAUCAGACUUCGGAUCUGAGAAUUGCAGGUUCGAGUUCUGUCGCGGUCG